CCUACGGGUGGCAGCAGUGAGGAAUAUUGGUCAAUGGGCGAGAGCCUGAACCAGCCAAGUCGCGUGAGGGAGUACUGCCCUAUGGGUUGUAAACCUCUUUUGUCGGGGAGCAAAAGCCGGACGUGUCCGGCUGUGAGAGUAACCGAAGAAAAAGAAUCGGCUAACUCCGUGCCAGCAGCCGCGGUAAUACGGAGGAUGCGAGCGUUAUCCGGAUUUAUUGGGUUUAAAGGGUGCGCAGGCGGAUUUUUAAGUCAGCGGUCAAAUCGUGGGGCUCAACCCCAUCCAGCCGUUGAAACUGGGGCUCUAUCUUGUGCGAUAGGUAUGCGGACUGCGUGGUGUAGCGGUUAAAUGCAUCGAUCUCACGCAGAACCCCGAUUGCGAAGGCCGCAUACCGGUGCACACCUGACGCUCAGGCACGAAAGCGUGGGUAUCGAACAGGAUUAGAUACCCGAGUAGUC
rnacentral:rRNA from 1 species